GGCAUCCCAGGCCCGCCUGCCCGAGGCUCUCUGUUCCCUAUCCCGCCGCCACCUCCGGGCGACCUGGCGGGAGCAGCCGUAAUUGGAUCUUCGUCGCCUCCUCCCCUCCCUGCCCCUCAUCGGGGAGCCGGUUAAAGGCUGGGUACCUCGGCACCACCGGCGGAUCCCAACCUGUGAUUUGGCUGCCGGGCUUCCCCCGGGCGGCUCGGCGACACCCUGCAGGCUGGGCCCUCCCCCACCGCUGGCCCUGCGUAGGUCCCGGGGUCCCCUUCGCGCAGCCUCCCUCGCCUGCUUCGGGAUAACUGGAGGAAGCAAGGAUCCCAGGCUUCAAGGGCCUCAUUGUUCUGCCUCGAGGGGCACAUUGAAAACGCCCCAGGAUUCGCUUCCUGUGAAAACAGCCCGGGAGGGGGCGGAGGGGGGGAUCCACUAUGGAAACGCUUACCCCAUCCCUGAAAGCUACCCAGAUUAGACAGGGAGAAGGACAUUGUUUUGAUUGUUGAUGGCUCUUUCUUUCUUUCUUUCUUUCUUUCUUUCUUUCUUUCUUUCUUUCUUUCUUCCUUCCUUUCUUUCCUUCUUUCUUUCCUUCUUUCUUUCUUCCUCUCUUUCUUUCUUUCUUUCCCCCCUUUCUUUCUUUUUCCUCCCCUCGUUUGGGAACCCACCCCGCACCUCCUUCCCUCUGCGGGCCAAAGCUAAAUCUUUCGGGCUGUUGAGCAAGUUGGAACUGUGGGGCCGUUUUUUCUGCAUAAAUAAGGCCAGUGAAUGGCAGAGCCAGAUAUAAAGUCUGAUUCAAAGAUUCAAAAGAAAGCAGGGGCGAUGAGGUGGGCAUGCCUGAGGAAGCAUUUCCCCAGCAUGGCCCUCUGAGUCAUGUCUUGCACCAGGAGGGA
rnacentral:lncRNA from 1 species